UACGUAGGGUGCAAGCGUUGUCCGGAAUUAUUGGGCGUAAAGAGCUCGUAGGCGGUUCGUCGCGUCGGCUGUGAAAUCCCGAGGCUCAACCUCGGGUCUGCAGUCGAUACGGGCGGACUGGAGUUCGGCAGGGGAGACUGGAAUUCCUGGUGUAGCGGUGAAAUGCGCAGAUAUCGGGAAGAACACCCGUGGCGAAGGCGGUUCUCUGGGACGGUACUGACGCUGAGACGCGAAAGCGUGGGGAGCGAACAGG
rnacentral:rRNA from 1 species